AGUGAACGCUGGCGGUAGGCCUAACACAUGCAAGUCGAACGGUAACAGGAAGCAGCUUUCUGCUUUCCGGAGGCGUGUCGCGCGGGGGUGUGAUGUCCAUGAAAAUGUCCUUUGGCGGGGGGGAACUAGUGGAAACGGUAACGAUUAUAGCAUAACCGCCCAAGGGCAGAAAGCAGGACCUUUUGGCCCCUUGCCCUAUUAAUUGCCCAGAUGGGAUUAGCUAGUAGGUGGGGUAACGGCUCACCUAGGCGACGAUCCCUAGCUGGUCUGAGAGGAUGAGCAGCCACACUGGAACUGAGACACGGUCCAGACUCCUACGGGAGGCAGCAGUGGGGAAUAUUGGACAAUGGGCGCAAGCCUGAUGCAGCCAUGCCGCGUGUAUGAAGAAGGCCUUCGGGUUGUAAAGUCCUUUCAUUGGGGAGGAAAAGCGUAAAGUUAAUACCCUUCCUUAUUGACGUUACCCGCAGAAGAAGCACCGGCUAACUUCGUG
rnacentral:rRNA from 1 species